GGCCUAUAUGUUUGGAAAUGAACUGUAUUUUUCGUUAUUGAACCACAUCACUGCAUGAAGAAAAUUAGCAUGGCAAUCAAGGCGAAUUUUUAGCCAAUCUCAUCCAAUAUGGAAGCGGGGUCCCGUUCUACGAAGGCUGGAUAGACAUUUUUUGGGACACCUUGUAUACGUAUUGAUAUGUUUGAACUGGGUUUUUACAAAAAAACGGACAACUUUAGAAAGAAUAAAUCACUAUCCGGUGGAUUUCCGGCCAUCGACCCCAUUUGAAUAAAUCAUUUGUACAAACUACAAUCUAUGACAGUUUAUAUUUCUAAUAAGUUUUUAGACGUUCUCUGGUUUUUAAAUAUUUAUUAUAGACUGGCAGUCGAAAGCUCGUAAUAAUAAAUAUUUAAAAACUAUCUUCCAGUGAGGUUCAGAUACGACUUCCACUACUGCUAUACCGCUGUACCUCUCACUGGUUUAGUUCGUAUUUGAUUGUUUAACCAUUAAUAACUACAGUAUUUCCUCUAUUUAGCCAGAGUUCCUCUAUUUAGCCGCCUGGGCGGUCACUUUUCCCAGUGGUCUGGACAGACUGGACUGGAGGCUUAUUAAAGGUGUGGGGGGGGCUAAACAAAUUUAACGUUUUCCUAAAAAAACCCAUUUAAGUUACAGUGCCAUCAUCAAAGGAUACUUGAUGACAUUUUCAUACAAUUUACCAUUAUUUAUUAUUUAUUAUUUAACCAUAUCAGUGAACGCUAUAAAGAACGUUCGUGUGCAUAUUUUGCUAUUAGUUCAUAUUGGGAAUGAUUCACUUAAUAAAGGAUGGGGGUAAUCACAAUGUUCUACAGGUGUAUAUAAACGAAGGAGUUUCGAAUCAGACAUAAGGGUUCGACAUGAGUCGGGCUAACCAGGUAAACCGGACUGGCUCGCAAGUGCUGAGAUCUCACCUCAUAUUAUUAUAUUGUUUUUAUAUGCACUGUAUUCGAGAAUUCAUUCGAGAAUUCAAAGCGAGCCAGUUCGGUUUACCGAACCGGGCCAGCUCAUAUGACAGCCCUUACAGAAAUCAAUUAACCGUAAGGCGUUAGUUAAAAUAGGCGAAACACUUCUCGACAUUUGAAGCCAAGGCCCUUUGCAGUGUACCAUUAACAAAUAGAGAAGAUUUUGCCGUUGUCUGUCCAGUUAUAGAUACACAGUAUGACGUCAUAAUGUGGAAAGAACAAAAAAGUGGCUCCCGCGAGCCAUAUCAUACUGUGUAUCAGUCUAUAACUGAACAGACAACGGCAAAAUCUUAUCUAUUUCUUUUAUAUAAUAAAAAGAAAAACCCGGAAUUAAACGUGUGAAUAGCUUACAUUUUAUCCACCCAAACAUUUGGAAAUUUGAAAAAGUUUGAAAUUUUACAAAUAUCACGCGUAUAUGUUCAUCUAUCCUCUAAUAAUAGAUCAUGGCACUUGACCAAUGAAAGCGCUUGAAUUCUUAACGUUAUCAUAUAAUAAUAAAAAGGCAAGUUUUUACGUAUUUUCUCCAGGUGAAGUUGAAGGGCCUUCACUCGAAAUGUCAAGAAGUGGUUUUACUUCAUCCAACGGUUCAUAUUCUAUGCUGCGGGCAAUACUGGACCCCAAAGUUAAAAUUUUCAUAAGUCACUGUUUAUGAAGUUUCCCUUCAGUAAAAUGUACUAAACAUCGAUAUGUUCUGAUUGAGAUUGAAUGGGGUCAUAACUGCCUUCAUAUCCCACAAGACGAAUCUGUAAUCGAAUUUGAUCCAGUUCCUUUGUGAAUGUGAGGAAGACAAGUAGGAAAGAAAACACCAUCACCCACUCGAAUGCGUCCCCAAUGACAUGUUCCUUGUAUCCUGGGUCACUAGAAUGCCAGUGUAAAUUAUCACCAGGCUUCUUUCCCGCGGCAGAACUCACCAUUGCAUAUGUUACAACAAAGCUUAUCGACGAAAGUAGAGCCAAGAUAAGUCGCGUUGUAGUAAGACACAAACUUAUCAGUCCCAAUCUUUUCAUAUGAUAUGAUAUGACCACUUGAAACCAUACGUAAAUAUUUCCAAAUACGAACAGUAUCGUGGCACCAACAAGAUGAACAACUAUCACCUGCGUCUCCUGUAAAUCAACAACACUGUAUUAUUUUA